CAGCCCCUUCUUCCUUUGCUUUCAGUACAAAGUCCUCAAUGCUCUUCCUCUGUGACUCAUCCACUAUUGGUCCCAUAUCAAUACACUUAUCCAUCACCAUCUUAUCAGCAACAUCCUCCUGGACUAGGAGCCUGGAACCAGCACUGCACACCUACAAGACAUGGAACAAUGUAUAUAUACGUAGUCAUGUACUGUACAUGUGUUUAGUAUUGAUCUAAGGAGUGAUUGGUAAACGCUUAUAAAGUC